ACAUGCAAGUCGAGGGGCAGCAUGGAGGAAGCUUGCUUCUUCUGAUGGCGACCGGCGCACGGGUGCGUAACGCGUAUCAAACCUGCCUCAUACUCGGGGAUAGCCUUGCGAAAGUAAGAUUAAUACCCGAUGUUGUUAUGUUACCGCAUGGUGAUAUAACCAAAGAUUUAUCGGUAUGAGAUGGUGACGCGUCCGAUUAGGUAGUAGGCGGGGUAACGGCCCACCUAGCCUUCGAUCGGUAGGGGUUCUGAGAGGAAGGUCCCCCACACUGGAACUGAGACACGGUCCAGACUCCUACGGGAGGCAGCAGUGAGGAAUAUUGGUCAAUGGACGCAAGUCUGAACCAGCCAAGUAGCGUGCAGGAUGACGGCCCUCUGGGUUGUAAACUGCUUUUAGUUGGGAAUAAAAAAGAGGACGUGUCCUCUAUUGUAUGUACCUUCAGAAAAAGGACCGGCUAAUUCCGUGCCAGCAGCCGCGGUAAUACGGAAGGUCCAGGCGUUAUCCGGAUUUAUUGGGUUUAAAGGGAGCGUAGGCGGAUUAUUAAGUCAGUGGUGAAAGACGGUGGCUCAACCAUCGUUAGCCAUUGAAACUGGUAGUCUUGAGUGCAGACAGGGAUGCUGGAACUCGUGGUGUAGCGGUGAAAUGCUUAGAUAUCACGAUGAACUCCGAUCGCGAAGGCAGGUGUCCGGGCUGCAACUGACGCUGAGGCUCGAAAGUGUGGGUAUCAAACAGGAUUAGAUACCCUGGUAGUCCACGCAGUAAACGAUGUAUACUCGCGGUUUGCGAUACAAUGUAAGCCGCCAAGCGAAA
rnacentral:rRNA from 1 species